AAGUCAAAAUGUACGUGCUAAUUAGAUGGAAACAGGUGAAAGUCCUGUACGGUCCCGCCACUGUAAGGGAGAAAUCCUAAGUCAGGUCUUUCUAAUUAGUUAAAUACUCACGAGGUAUGGGGGAGAGUU
rnacentral:sRNA from 2 species